UCUACCUUACCACUACUCUGUGGGUGAUAUGGUGUGUGGAAUGCAAGGGUCACCCCCAGUGCUGACCAGACUUCCCGUGUUAACGAGGCAGUGAAGGAGGUCCCUUGGUCACUUUCAAUCCCUUCUGGAACUCCAUAUCGAUAAACAAUUUCAGUCAAAAGGUACUUGGCUGUAGUCCUCGCGGUGAGAUUAGUCACUGGGAAGGCCUCUGGCCAUCCUGAAAACACGUCCACUAUGACUAGUGCAUAUCCGUAACGUCCACUCUUUGGCAUUUGAAUAUGGUCAAUCUGGAUCCUCUGAAAGGGGUAUUGUG